UACGUAGGGUGCAAGCGUUGUCCGGAAUUAUUGGGCGUAAAGAGCUCGUAGGCGGUUUGUCGCGUCUGCUGUGAAAACGCGAGGCUCAACCUCGCGCCUGCAGUGGGUACGGGCAGACUAGAGUGCGGUAGGGGAGAUUGGAAUCCUGGUGUAGCGGUGGAAUGCGCAGAUAUCAGGAGGAACACCGAUGGCGAAGGCAGAUCUCUGGGCCGUGAACUGACGCUGAGGUGCGAAAGCGUGGGGAGCAAACGG
rnacentral:rRNA from 1 species